UAGGAAUGCGAAAGGUAACGGUGGAAUGUGGUAGAACCUUCGUGGACUUCCUUCUCAGAGCGUCCUUAAAAGCUGCCCACGUCUGAACCCUGUGGUAGCAAGCUGGAUUAGAUACCCAAGUAGUCACAGAGGUUAACCCUGGCUAAUCGUAGGCUGGAUAACAAACGUUAAGAUUAAUUAGGCUCAUCUUACGAGUACGCCCGUCGGGGUGAAACUUAAAGGUGCUGGUGGUAAUUUAGAACAACGGUGGAACUGAUGAUUUAAUUCGAUGUUACGCGAUACAGCUCAUC
rnacentral:rRNA from 1 species